AUACGGAGGGUGCAAGCGUUAAUCGGAAUUACUGGGCGUAAAGCGUACGUAGGCGGUUCGUUAAGUUAGAUGUGAAAGCCCCGGGCUUAACCUGGGAACUGCGUUUAAAACUGGCGGACUAGAGUUGAGUAGAGGGGAGUGGAAUUUCAGGUGUAGCGGUGAAAUGCGUAGGGAGCUGAAGGAACACAAGUGGCGAAGGCGACUCCCUGGCCUCGAACUGACGCUGAGGUACGAAAGCGUGGGUAGCAAACGGGAUUAGAUACCCCAGUAGUCC
rnacentral:rRNA from 1 species